rnacentral:rRNA from 1 species
UACGUAGGUCGCAAGCGUUGUCCGGAUUUACUGGGCGUAAAGAGCGCGCAGGCGGCUGGUCAAGUCCGAUGUGAAAUCUCCCGGCUCAACUGGGAAACUGCAUCGGAAACUGAUCGGCUUGAAGAUGGGAGAGGGUAGUGGAAUUCCCGGUGUAGUGGUGAAAUUCGUAGAUAUUCGCAAGAACACCAGUGGCGAAGGCGGCUCACUGGCCCGAUACUGACGCUGAGGCGCGAAAGCGUGGGGAGCAAACAGG